rnacentral:rRNA from 1 species
GAGCGCCGUAGCAAUACGGAGCGGCAGACGGGAGAGUAACACGUGGGAACGUACCCCUCGGUUCGGAAUAACUCAGGGAAACUUGAGCUAAUACCGGAUACGUCGGCAACGAGAAAGAUUUAUCGCCGAGGGAUCGGCCCGCGUCCGAUUAGCUAGUUGGUGAGGUAAUGGCUCACCAAGGCGACGAUCGGUAGCUGGUCUGAGAGGAUGAUCAGCCUCACUGGGACUGAGACACGGCCCAGACUCCUACGGGAGGCAGCAGUGGGGAAUAUUGGACAAUGGGCGCAAGCCUGAUCCAGCCAUGCCGCGUGGGUGAUGAAGGCCUUAGGGUUGUAAAGCCCUUUCGGCGGGGAAGAUAAUGACGGUACCCGCAGAAGAAGCCCCGGCUAACUUCGUG